ACCUAUAAGAUGACUUGUAACGCUCAUGAAAAGCUUGAGAACAACCUUCGAAAGAACAGGAAGGAUAUGGCACUAAGAUUCAUGAAGACCACUUAAAAGGAAGUUCAAGUGAUGAGAACUAUGAUGAUGACUUGGGACUCUUCACAAGAAAGUUCAAAAAAUUUAUAAAAAAAGUAAAUCUAAAAAUAACACUAAAAAUAAAAUUAAAC
rnacentral:lncRNA from 1 species